UACGUAGGGUCCGAGCGUUGUCCGGAAUUAUUGGGCAUAAAGAGCUCGUAGGCGGCCUGUCGCGUCUGCUGUGAAAGUCCGGGGCUUAACUUCGGGUGUGCAGUGGAUACGGGCAGGCUUGAGGUAGGUAGGGGAGACUGGAAUUCCUGGUGUAGCGGUGAAAUGCGCAGAUAUCAGGAGGAACACCGGUGGCGAAGGCGGGUCUCUGGGCCUUACCUGACGCUCAUGCGCGAAAGCUGGGGUAGCGAACCGGAUUAGAUACCCCUGUAGU
rnacentral:rRNA from 1 species